rnacentral:miRNA from 1 species
UUCCCACGCGUUAUAGUGAAA